rnacentral:rRNA from 1 species
GCCUUAUACAUGCAAGUCGAACGGAGUAGCAAUACUCAGUGGCAGACGGGUGAGUAACAUGUGGGAAUCUUCCCUUUGGUGAGGAAUAACACGAGGAAACUUGUGCUAAUACCUCAUAAGUCUUUACAGAGAAAGCUUUAUGCGCCAAUGGAUGAGCCCGCAUUUGAUUAGUUUGUUGGUAGGGUAAUGGCCUACCAAGACUGUGAUCAAUAGCUGAUCUGAGAGGAUGAUCAGCCACAUUGGGACUGAGACACGGCCCAAACUCCUACGGGAGGCAGCAGUAGGGAAUAUUGCACAAUGGAGGAAACUCUGAUGCAGCGAUGCCGCGUGAGUGAAGAAGGCCUUUGGGUUGUAAAGCUCUUUCGUCGGGGAAGAAAAUGACUGUACCCGAAUAAGAAGGUCCGGCUAACUUCGUGCCAGCAGCCGCGGUAAUACGAAGGGACCUAGCGUAGUUCGGAAUUACUGGGCUUAAAGAGUUCGUAGGUGGUUAAAAUAGUUGGUGGUGAAAUCCCAGAGCUUAACUCUGGAACUGCCAUCAAAACUUUUUAGCUAGAGUUUGAUAGAGGAAAGCAGAAUUUCUAGUGUAGAGGUGAAAUUCGUAGAUAUUAGAAAGAAUACCAAUUGCGAAGGCAGCUUUCUGGAUCAUUACUGACACUGAGGAACGAAAGCAUGGGUAGCGAAGAGGAUUAGAUACCCUCGUAGUCCAUGCCGUAAACGAUGUGUGUUAGACGUUGGAAAUUUAUUUUCAGUGUCGCAGCGAAAGCAUUAAACACACCGCCUGGGGAGUACGACCGC